AGCCUUUUUUUUCCCAUUAUGCAGACUACGUGACCAUCGGAGUGUACUAACUGUAGAUUUUUCGACAGUACUUGAAGGCAGCAUACCGCAAUUUCCCACACACAACGUGGUGGUGCUUUUGAUGCUGAUGCAAUCGCCCUGGAGGAGACAAAAAGGAUGUGAGCAGCCUGAAGCCAUGUUCACACGAGAAAGCAGAACAACUGUACUGAAUGUCUGGGAAGUUUGAGUUUCACCUCUUCUGGGACACCGAGGCCGGUAGAGGAAGGAAGUGGACCUGCGAGCAAAACAGCAAAUAAAUAUGCAAGAGACGGAAUAAAGAGCUUGAAAAAAAGGCUGAAGAGAGGGAGAAAGAGAGUUUCUAAGGAUGAAUAAAACGGAGACUCCUGCUUCCCACCAUGAUGUCAGCUGCAGCCUUUGCAAUAUGUUUCAGUGCAACUUUAACAGAGGAAGUAAGAAGUUAGUAUGAAAGCUACAGUAGGCGUUGUGUCACAGCCCCGAUACGAGAGUUGAAGUUCCCUAUGCUUACAUGAAAUUACACAACCGCUCUACUGACAUUCUCUCCAAGAUUGCUGCUGUGUUACACGCUAGCAUCUCCUCCAUCUUUUCUGACAUCCCUCA